UAUCUCUGUAGAGUCUGCAUAUCAAUAAGCGGAGGAAAAGAAACUAACAAGGAUUCCCUUAGUAACGGCGAGUGAAGCGGGAAGAGCUCAAAUUUGAAAUCUUCAAGGUUCUACCUUGACGAAUUGUAGUUUAAAGAAGUGUUUUCUGUUAGAUGAGUAGCAAAAGUUCCUUGGAAUGGGACAUCAUAGAGGGUGAGAAUCCCGUAUUUGGUUAUUCAUUCUAGCUUUGUGAUACACUUUCAAAGAGUCGGAUUGUUUGGGAAUGCAGUCCAAAAUGGGUGGUAAAUUUCAUCUAAAGCUAAAUAUUGGCGAGAGACCGAUAGCGAACAAGUACCGUGAGGGAAAGAUGAAAAGAACUUUGAAAAGAGAGUUAAACAGUACGUGAAAUUGUCAAAAGGGAAGCGUUUGACACCAGUGUUGUUUUUCCGAAAAUCAAUUACGAAUGGCUUGAUUCUGUGUAGUAUUGACCUUAUCAGCUUUCUUCACUUUUUUCGAGUCUUUCUUAAUGCACUUUUCGGUUAACAAGUCAACAUCAAUUUCUUUUGUUGUAAAAGAGUAUUCGGAAGGUGGCUUUCUUUUCGGAGAAAGUGUUUAUAGCCCUAUACUUCUACAAUCGGAGAGAUUGAGGUCUGCAGCGUAGAUCCUUCGGGGUUAGAUACACUUGUAGCUAAGUUGUAGCUUUUCAUAGACAACUUGUUGACUAUGUUUAGUCAUGCGGCUUACUCGCUUGUGCUAUUUUACCUACGCUUAGGAUGUUGACGAGACUGUCGAUCUC
rnacentral:rRNA from 1 species